UCAGAUUGAACGCUGGCGGCAGGCCUAACACAUGCAAGUCGAGCGGUAGAGAGAAGCUUGCUUCUCUUGAGAGCGGCGGACGGGUGAGUAAUGCCUAGGAAUCUGCCUGGUAGUGGGGGAUAACGUUCGGAAACGGACGCUAAUACCGCAUACGUCCUACGGGAGAAAGCAGGGGACCUUCGGGCCUUGCGCUAUCAGAUGAGCCUAGGUCGGAUUAGCUAGUUGGUGAGGUAAUGGCUCACCAAGGCGACGAUCCGUAACUGGUCUGAGAGGAUGAUCAGUCACACUGGAACUGAGACACGGUCCAGACUCCUACGGGAGGCAGCAGUGGGGAAUAUUGGACAAUGGGCGAAAGCCUGAUCCAGCCAUGCCGCGUGUGUGAAGAAGGUCUUCGGAUUGUAAAGCACUUUAAGUUGGGAGGAAGGGUUGUAGAUUAAUACUCUGCAAUUUUGACGUUACCGACAGAAUAAGCACCGGCUAACUCUGUGCCAGCAGCCGCGGUAAUACAGAGGGUGCAAGCGUUAAUCGGAAUUACUGGGCGUAAAGCGCGCGUAGGUGGUUUGUUAAGUUGGAUGUGAAAUCCCCGGGCUCAACCUGGGAACUGCAUUCAAAACUGACUGACUAGAGUAUGGUAGAGGGUGGUGGAAUUUCCUGUGUAGCGGUGAAAUGCGUAGAUAUAGGAAGGAACACCAGUGGCGAAGGCGACCACCUGGACUAAUACUGACACUGAGGUGCGAAAGCGUGGGGAGCAAACAGGAUUAGAUACCCUGGUAGUCCACGCCGUAAACGAUGUCAACUAGCCGUUGGAAGCCUUGAGCUUUUAGUGGCGCAGCUAACGCAUUAAG
rnacentral:rRNA from 1 species